rnacentral:rRNA from 1 species
GACGAACGCUGGCGGCGUGCUUAACACAUGCAAGUCGAACGAUGAAGCCGGAGCUUGCUCUGGUGAAUUAGUGGCGAACGGGUGAGUAACACGUGAGUAACCUGCCCUUGACUCUGGGAUAACUGCGGGAAACUGUAGCUAAUACCGGAUACGACCCUCGGAGGCAUCUCCUGGGGGUGGAAAGAAUUCCGGUCAAGGAUGGACUCGCGGCCUAUCAGCUAGUUGGUGAGGUAGCGGCUCACCAAGGCGACGACGGGUAGCCGGCCUGAGAGGGUGACCGGCCACACUGGGACUGAGACACGGCCCAGACUCCUACGGGAGGCAGCAGUGGGGAAUAUUGCACAAUGGGCGCAAGCCUGAUGCAGCAACGCCGCGUGAGGGAUGACGGCCUUCGGGUUGUAAACCUCUUUUAGUAGGGAAGAAGCGAAAGUGACGGUACCUGCAGAAAAAGCACCGGCUAACUACGUGCCAGCCGCCGCAGUAA